rnacentral:rRNA from 1 species
AAGUGAGCAUGCAGGCAUGAGUAGCGAUAAUUAAUGUGAGAAUCAUUAACGCCGUAAACCCAAGGUUUCCUACGCGAUGCUCGUCAUCGUAGGGUUAGUCGGGUCCUAAGUCGAGUCCGAAAGGGGUAGACGAUGGCAAAUUGGUUAAUAUUCCAAUACCAACAUUAGUGUGCGAUGGAAGGACGCUUAGGGCUAAGGGGGCUAGCGGAUGGAAGUGCUAGUCUAAGGUCGUAGGAGGUUGUACAGGCAAAUCCGUAUAACAAUACUCCGAGAACUGAAAGGCUUUUUGAAGUCUUCGGAUGGAUAGAAGAACCCCUGAUGCCGUCGAGCCAAGAAAAGUUUCUAAGUUUAGCUAAUGUUGCCCGUACCGUAAACCGACACAGGUGGGUGGGAUGAGUAUUCUAAGGCGCGUGGAAGAACUCUCUUUAAGGAACUCUGCAAAAUAGCACCGUAUCUUCGGUAUAAGGUGUGGUUAGCUUUGUAUUAGGAUUUACUCCGAAAGCAAGGAAACUUACAACAAAGAGUCCCUCCCGACUGUUUACCAAAAACACAGCACUCUGCUAACUCGUAAGAGGAUGUAUAGGGUGUGACGCCUGCCCGGUGCUCGAAGGUUAAUUGAUGGGGUUAGCAUUAGCGAAGCUCUUGAUCGAAGCCCGAGUAAACGGCGGCCGUAACUAUAACGGUCCUAAGGUAGCGAAAUUCCUUGUCGGUUAAAUACCGACCUGCAUGAAUGGCGUAACGAGAUGGGAGCUGUCUCAAAGAGGGAUCCAGUGAAAUUGUAGUGGAGGUGAAAAUUCCUCCUACCCGCGGCAAGACGGAAAGACCCCGUGGACCUUUACUACAGCUUGACACUGCUACUUGGAUAAGAAUGUGCAGGAUAGGUGGGAGGCUUUGAGUAUAUGACGCCAGUUGUAUAUGAGCCAUUGUUGAGAUACCACUCUUUCUUAUUUGGGUAGCUAACCAGCUUGAGUUAUCCUCAAGUGGGACAAUGUCUGGUGGGUAGUUUGACUGGGGCGGUCGCCUCCCAAAUAAUAACGGAGGCUUACAAAGGUUGGCUCAGAACGGUUGGAAAUCGUUCGUAGAGUAUAAAGGUAUAAGCCAGCUUAACUGCAAGACAUACAAGUCAAGCAGAGACGAAAGUCGGUCUUAGUGAUCCGGUGGUUCUGUGUGGAAGGGCCAUCGCUCAAAGGAUAAAAGGUACCCCGGGGAUAACAGGCUGAUCUCCCCCAAGAGCUCACAUCGACGGGGAGGUUUGGCACCUCGAUGUCGGCUCAUCGCAUCCUGGGGCUGGAGCAGGUCCCAAGGGUAUGGCUGUUCGCCAUUUAAAGCGGUACGCGAGCUGGGUUCAGAACGUCGUGAGACAGUUCGGUCCCUAUCUGCCGUGGGCGUAAGAAGAUUGAAGAGAUUUGACCCUAGUACGAGAGGACCGGGUUGAACAAACCACUGGUGUAGCUGUUGUUCUGCCAAGAGCAUCGCAGCGUAGCUAAGUUUGGAAAGGAUAAACGCUGAAAGCAUCUAAGCGUGAAGCCAACUCUAAGAUGAAUCUUCUCUAAGCUCUCUAGAAGACUACUAGUUUGAUAGGCUGGGUGUGUAAUGGAUGAAAGUCCUUUAGCUGACCAGUACUAAUAGAGCGUUUGGCUUAUCUUUAAUAAAGCAU